rnacentral:rRNA from 1 species
AGCGAACGCUGGCGGCAGGCCUAACACAUGCCAGUCGAACGAACCUUUCGGGGUUAGUGGCGGACGGGUGAGUAACACGUGGGAACGUGCCCUUAGGUUCGGAAUAACUCAGGGAAACUUGUGCUAAUACCGAAUGUGCCCUUCGGGGGUAAGAGCUAUCGCCUCUAGAGCGGCCUGCGUCUGGUUCGCUGGUUGGUUGAGGAAAUGGCGCGGCUAGGCGUCGAUCAGUAGCUGUUGUGAGAGGAUGAUCAGCCACAUUGGGACUGAGACACGGUCCAAACUCCGACGGGAGGGAGCAGUGGAGAAUCUUGCGCGAUGAGCGAAAGCGUGACGCCGCCAUGCCGGGUGAAUGGUGAAGGUCUUAGGAUUGUAAAAUUCUUUGACAGGAGGCGAUAGUGACGGUACCCGGAGAAGAAGCCCCGGCUAACUACGUG